AGUGAACGCUGGCGGCGUGCUUAACACAUGCAAGUCGAACGGGUAAGUGCUGUAGCAAUACAGAUUACUGCUAGUGGCAGACGGGUGAGUAAUACAUGGGAAUCUGCCCUGGAGUCCGGGAUAACAGUUGGAAACGACUGCUAAUACCGGAUAUUGCCGGGAGGUGAAAGAAUUUCGCUCCAGGAUGAGCCCAUGGGAGAUUAGCUAGUUGGUAGGGUAAUGGCCACCAAGGCAACGAUCUCUAGCUGGUCUGAGAGGACGAACAGCCACACUGGGACUGAGACACGGCCCAGACUCCUACGGGAGGCAGCAGUGGGGAAUAUUGCGCAAUGGGCGGAAGCCUGACGCAGCGACGCCGCGUGGGGA
rnacentral:rRNA from 1 species